GACGAACGCUGGCGGCGUGCUUAACACAUGCAAGUCGAACGGAAAGGCCUGCUUUCCCUUGUGGAUUGCGGGUACUCGAGUGGCGAACGGGUGAGUAACACGUGAGUGAUCUGCCCCCAACUUGGGUAUAAGCCUGGGAAACUGGGUCUAAUUCCCGAUAGGACUGCAGGGUGGUGCCUGUGGUGGAAAACGAUUUUCUAGUGGUUGGGGAUGAGCUCGCGGCCUAUCAGCUUGUUGGUGGGGUAAUGGCCUACCAAGGCGGCGACGGGUAGCCGGCCUGAGAGGGUGGACGGCCACAUUGGGACUGAGAUACGGCCCAGACUCCUACGGGAGGCAGCAGUGGGGAAUAUUGCACAAUGGGUGGAAGCCUGAUGCAGCGACGCCGCGUGGGGGAUGACGGCCUUCGGGUUGUAAACUCCUUUCGACCGCGAGGAAGCCACCUGGUUGGAAGGGUGGUGACGGUAGUGGUAGAAGAAGCACCGGCUAACUACGUG
rnacentral:rRNA from 1 species